rnacentral:lncRNA from 1 species
UGACCAUGGGAGUGAGUUUUUAAAUGUUCCAGGGCUUGUUUUCCUGAAAGUGUAAAUGUUUUGUUGCUGAUGAGUCACGAGCACCAGCCGUGACUUCCUUCUCUAGGGUCCUUUCCUACAGCUGUGUGACCAGGGUGGGAACAACUAGCCUCUCUGUGCCUCUCUCGCUUCAUCCAGCUUCCUGUCCUCACUAUUGUUCCGUGUCAGUGUGUGCGGCGAUGCUUUAGGAUCUCCACCGGUGUGAUUCCUGGUGUGGUUAACGACACGCGCGAGCAAAUGUGUUUUUCCACUCCGAGGCGCGUGUCCCAGAGAACUCAUCUGUCCACCCAAAAAGCUGUGCACAACUAGGGAUAGAACCAUUAUUCAGAAUGGCUAAAUGGGAGAACCAACCCACAUGUCCAUCAGCCGACGAGUGGAUACAUACAGUGUGGUAUAUUCCUCCGAUGGAAUACUAUCCACCUAUAAAAAAGACUGAGACUGGGAGUUCCUGUUGUGCCUCAGUGGAAACGACCCCGACUGGUAUCCCUGAGGAUUCGGGUUUGAUCUCUGACCUCAAAAUGCAGUAGAUUAAGGAUCCCGCGUUGCCCUGAGCUGUGGUGUAGGUUGCAGACACAGCUUGGAUCUGGCGCUGCCGUGGCUGUGGCCGGCAGCUGCAGCCCUGAUCGGCCCUCUAGCCUGGCAACUUCCAUAUGCCGUGGGUGCGGCCCUAGAAAGAAAAAAAAAAGAAUGAUAUAUGCCACAGUAUGGCUCAGUCUAAGAAGCCGGUCACAAAAAGGACAUAUAUAAUAUGAUUCCAUUUAUAGGAAAUGUGCAGAAUAAGCAAAUUCUUAGAGGCAGAUUGUUGCUCAAUGGUCUCUUAGGGCCGGGAGGAAUAGUGAGACUGGGGGACCAUGGUUGAAAGGGCUGCGUCUUUUUGGGGAAUAAUGAAAAUAUUGUAGUAUUGAUUGUGGUGGUGCUUGCACAGUCCCCCAAACCAUUGAAUUGUAUAGUUUAAAUAGGUGAAUUAUAUGGCAUAUGAAUUAUAUUUCCAUAAAGUUGCCCCCCCCGCUAAAAAAAGUUUGAAGCCCCCCAGGAGAGGGUGCUGCCCCAGGCGCAAGGGUUUCUGUGUUUUCGAAUUGUCUUCCUCCCACCAGGUGUACAGAAAGCAGCCCCUGAUGAGCAGUUUUCAAGUCCUAGAGAUUCCACGGGCUUCGGCUACCAUCUCCCUGAGCGCCUUCCAGUAGGUCUGCUGUCCUGGCUGGACUUCAGUGGCCCUGUCGUCAGGGUGAACAGCUCACGGAGCAGAUGCCUCUAAGGGUCUUCUGAGCCCAUCACUGGAGACCAGCGUUGCAUGGCCGGCACCUGCCCAGCGCCCUGGAGGCGGGACAGGAAGAGACACAGGGCUCAGGAGGCAGGCGGUGGACUCAGACGCCUGCUGCUCUGCCCGGCCACAUCCGGCCCCCUUGCCUUUUACUGCAUUUUAAUUAAGUUGUUGAAUCAGAUGGGCACCAGGAAUCUGUAGGCUGUAACAGCCGGGGCAGGAACAGAAGCCUUGGAGCGGAACUAAACCAACAAAGUCUGCCUCUUGAGCAGAUCCAGGAGCCCCAGUCUUGCCGAAGGGCGUCUCUCAGGCGGGGAGAUGGGGGGCCCCCCUGCUCGGCCGGACCGAAGGAGAAGCUUGGCUCUGGGCCUGAGAGCCAUGGCCUGGGUCGUGAGCCACACUGGCGUUUUCUGGUGGCCUUGGCCUGGCCUGACUCCCAGCUCCAGCCCUAUCCCAGAGGUUCUGAGCGCUCCGCCACCCCCGGGCUCUGUCUUCCCAUCCUUGUCUUGUGGGUUGGAAAUUAAUCCUCGGUGGCGAAGGUCAUAAUGUCCUUGAAGCUGGGAGAGAAGGCGAGAGGGUCCUAGGACCACGCAGAGGUCAGCAGUGCCCAACAGAGUCUAGAAUGGUGGAAAGAACCAGAAAAAAGAAGUUCCCGCUGUGGCUCAGUGGUAACGAAUCUGACCAGUAUCCAUGAGGAUGAGGGUUCAGUCCCUCGCCCCGCUCAGUAGGUUAAGGAUCUGGAGUUGCUAUGAGCUGUAGCGUCGAUUGCAGACGUGGCUUGGAUCUGGUGUUGCUGUGGCUGUGGCAUAAGCUGGCAGCUGUAGCUCUGAUUCGACCCCUAGCCUGGGAACCUCCAUCUGCUGUGAGUGCAGCCCUAAAAAGACAAAAACAGGAGUUCCUGUCGUGGCUCAGUGGUUAAUGAAUCUGACGAGGAACCAUGAGGUUUCGGGUUAGAUCCCUGGCCUCGCUCAGUGAGUUAAGGAUCCGCUGUUGCUGUGAGCUGUGGUGUGGGGGUCACAGACGCAGCUCGGAUCCCGCAUUGCUGUGGCUCUGGUGUAGGCUGGCAGCUGUAGCUCAGAUGGGACCCCUAGCCUAGGAACCUCCACAUGCCAUGGGUGCAGCCCUAGAAAAGACAAAAGUAAAUAAAUAAAUAUUAAAAAAUAAAGACAAAAACAAAACAAACAAAAAAGAACUGGAAAAAAAAAAGGUUGACGCUGAGAUGAUUCCAAAAAGGAUAUUUGCUCACAGGAGUGGGGAAAUACACACGGCAUCACAGACGUGCAACAGGAUUAGACUUGCUGGACUAGAUGGCAUCGCUGAAAACAGUUCUACUAGGUCCAGUCCAGUGGGGGAUGAGGGCACAGAGAAGUCAGCCCAGAGUUCUGCCCUUGCGGAGCUUGGUACCCAGGGAGAGAGACAUAGGAACCCGCAAAGAGGGUGCUUUGGGAAACAGAUGGGGGCGGACGGAGCAGCAGCCUUAGGGAGAGAGGCGGUCUGCCAAGGUCUUUGCCAAGAACGUGAUGCUUGAGUUGGUCUCUAAGGAUGAGCAGGAUGCAGACAGGGAGUGAGAGGAAAGGAAGCUCAUUUCAGACAGUGGGAACAGCAUGUGCAAAGGCAGGGAAGUGCAAGUGCUCGGCCCCCUGGGAGCCCUGUAAACAAUGAUGGGGCAGCUAGAACAGAACGUGAGAAUUAUUAGAGAAGGUCAGAAUUAGGGCUGCACCAGGAAGGACCAUGCAUGACCUUGGAAAGCCCUUCAUCUUGCCAUUCAGAGGAUGUAAUCAACUUAGCUUAAAUCCAUAAGUCGGGCUGGUCGAGGUGGCUAGCAAGUCAGGCUCCGGACAGAUGUGUUCACAGCCUGAUGCGUGCAGCCAUCAGUGACCUUACAACGCUAUGCACCAACUGUGUUAACUCACAGAUGCUUCCUGGGCCGCCAUGGGUACUGUGGUGUGUGCGCAUGAAGGGAUACAGUCCUGAGCUCGGGCUGCUUGCUUGUUGAACAAGACAAAAAAAAAAAAAAAAUGUUCAAAUGGCUAAUUAAAAUGCAUUUCCCUGCCAGGUGAGUAACGCAGGAUUGUAAGCAUCCAGGAAAAGUCAGUGAGAGCUGGAAGGUCAAGGGCAUUAAUCUGGAGGAGUGGGAUUGGAAUUAGGCUGUGAACAAAAGCAGGAUUGAAACAGUCGGGGAGAGGCAUCUCCUUGUAGCCCAGCCGGUUCAGGAUCCGGCCUUGUCACUGCAGAGUCUCAGGCUGCUGCUGUGGUGACAUUUCCAUCCCUGGCUGGGGAACUUCUGCA